rnacentral:rRNA from 1 species
UACGUAGGGGGCAAGCGUUGUCCGGAAUCAUUGGGCGUAAAGAGCGCGUAGGCGGCCCAGUAAGUCCGCUCUGAAAGUCAGGGGCUCAACCCCUGGAUGCGGGUGGAUACUGCUGGGCUAGAGUCCGGAAGAGGUGAGUGGAAUUCCUGGUGUAGCGGUGGAAUGCGCAGAUAUCAGGAGGAACACCGAUGGCGAAGGCAGGUCUCUGGGCCAUAACUGACGCUGAGAAGCGAAAGCAUGGGGAGCGAACAGG